GUCUAUGGCCAUACUUAUCUGAAUGUGCUCAGUGUUGUCUGAUCUUGGAAGUUAAACAGGGUUGACCUGGCACGUAGUUGGAUAGCAGAAUGCAUGAUCAAAGGCCAGUUCCUUCACACA
rnacentral:rRNA from 1 species